CAUGCAGUCGAACGCUUUUUCUUUCACCGGAGCUUGCUCCACCGAAAGAAAAAGAGUGGCGAACGGGUGAGUAACACGUGGGUAACCUGCCCAUCAGAAGGGGAUAACACUUGGAAACAGGUGCUAAUACCGUAUAACACUAUUUUCCGCAUGGAAGAAAGUUGAAAGGCGCUUUUGCGUCACUGAUGGAUGGACCCGCGGUGCAUUAGCUAGUUGGUGAGGUAACGGCUCACCAAGGCCACGAUGCAUAGCCGACCUGAGAGGGUGAUCGGCCACACUGGGACUGAGACACGGCCCAGACUCCUACGGGAGGCAGCAGUAGGGAAUCUUCGGCAAUGGACGAAAGUCUGACCGAGCAACGCCGCGUGAGUGAAGAAGGUUUUCGGAUCGUAAAACUCUGUUGUUAGAGAAGAACAAGGAUGAGAGUARAACGUUCAUCCCUUGACGGUAUCUAACCAGAAAGCCACGGCUAACUACGUGCCAGCAGCCGCGGUAAUACGUAGGUGGCAAGCGUUGUCCGGAUUUAUUGGGCGUAAAGCGAGCGCAGGCGGUUUCUUAAGUCUGAUGUGAAAGCCCCCGGCUCAACCGGGGAGGGUCAUUGGAAACUGGGAGACUUGAGUGCAGAAGAGGAGAGUGGAAUUCCAUGUGUAGCGGUGAAAUGCGUAGAUAUAUGGAGGAACACCAGUGGCGAAGGCGGCUCUCUGGUCUGUAACUGACGCUGAGGCUCGAAAGCGUGGGGAGCGAACAGGAUUAGAUACCCUGGUAGUCCACGCCGUAAACGAUGAGUGCUAAGUGUUGGAGGGUUUCCGCCCUUCAGUGCUGCAGCAAACGCAUUAAGCACUCCGCCUGGGAGUACGACCGCAAGUUGAACUCAAGGAAUUGACGGGGCCGCACAGCGGUGGAGCAUGUGUUUAAUUCGAAGCAC
rnacentral:rRNA from 1 species